AGUGAACGCUGGCGGUAGGCCUAACACAUGCAAGUCGAACGGCAGCACAGUAAGAGCUUGCUCUUACGGGUGGCGAGUGGCGGACGGGUGAGGAAUACAUCGGAAUCUACUUUUUCGUGGGGGAUAACGUAGGGAAACUUACGCUAAUACCGCAUACGACCUACGGGUGAAAGCAGGGGAUCUUCGGACCUUGCGCGAUUGAAUGAGCCGAUGUCGGAUUAGCUAGUUGGCGGGGUAAAGGCCCACCAAGGCGACGAUCCGUAGCUGGUCUGAGAGGAUGGUCAGCCACACUGGAACUGAGACACGGUCCAGACUCCUACGGGAGGCAGCAGUGGGGAAUAUUGGACAAUGGGCGCAAGCCUGAUCCAGCCAUACCGCGUGGGUGAAGAAGGCCUUCGGGUUGUAAAGACCUUUUGUUGGGAAAGAAAAGCAGCAGGUUAAUACCCCGCUGUUCUGACGGUACCCAAAGAAUAAGCACCGGCUAACUUCGUG
rnacentral:rRNA from 1 species